AUUGAACGCUGGCGGCAUGCUUUACACAUGCAAGUCGAACGGUAGGGUAGCAAUACCUGAGAGUGGCGAACGGGUGAGUAAUGUAUCGGAACGUGCCCAAGAGUGGGGGAUAGCCCGGCGAAAGCCGGAUUAAUACCGCAUACGAUCUAUGGAUGAAAACGGGGGACCGCAAGGCCUCGUGCUCCUGGAGCGGCCGAUAUCAGAUUAGGUAGUUGGUGGGGUAAAGGCUCACCAAGCCAACGAUCUGUAGCUGGUUUGAGAGAACGACCAGCCAAACUGGGACUGAGACACGGCCCAGACUCCUACGGGAGGCAGCAGUGGGGAAUUUUGGACAAUGGGCGCAAGCCUGAUCCAGCAAUGCCGCGUGCAGGAUGAAGGCCUUCGGGUUGUAAACUGCUUUUGUACGGAGCGAAAAGGCUUCUUCUAAUACAGGAGGCUCAUGACGGUACCGUAUGAAUAAGCACCGGUUAACUACGUGCCAGCAGCCGCCGUAA
rnacentral:rRNA from 1 species